UCUCUCCUACGGGACGCAGCAGUGAGGAAUAUUGGUCAAUGGCCGGGAGGCUGAACCAGCCAAGUCGCGUGAGGGAAGACGGCCCUACGGGUUGUAAACCUCUUUUGUCAGGGAGCAAGGUGCAGGUCGGGACCUGCUGUGAGAGUACCUGAAGAAAAAGCAUCGGCUAACUCCGUGCCAGCAGCCGCGGUAAUACGGAGGAUGCGAGCGUUAUCCGGAUUUAUUGGGUUUAAAGGGUGCGUAGGCGGAUCGUUAAGUCAGUGGUCAAAUUGAGGGGCUCAACCCCUUCCCGCCAUUGAAACUGG
rnacentral:rRNA from 1 species